GACGAACGCUGGCGGCGUGCCUAAUACAUGCAAGUAGAACGCUGAAGAGAGGAGCUUGCUCUUCUUGGAUGAGUUGCGAACGGGUGAGUAACGCGUAGGUAACCUGCCUUGUAGCGGGGGAUAACUAUUGGAAACGAUAGCUAAUACCGCAUAACAAUGGAUGACACAUGUCAUUUAUUUGAAAGGGGCAAUUGCUCCACUACAAGAUGGACCUGCGUUGUAUUAGCUAGUAGGUGAGGUAACGGCUCACCUAGGCGACGAUACAUAGCCGACCUGAGAGGGUGAUCGGCCACACUGGGACUGAGACACGGCCCAGACUCCUACGGGAGGCAGCAGUAGGGAAUCUUCGGCAAUGGGGGCAACCCUGACCGAGCAACGCCGCGUGAGUGAAGAAGGUUUUCGGAUCGUAAAGCUCUGUUGUAAGUCAAGAACGAGUGUGAGAGUGGAAAGUUCACACUGUGACGGUAGCUUACCAGAAAGGGACGGCUAACUACGUGCCAGCAGCCGCGGUAAUACGUAGGUCCCGAGCGUUGUCCGGAUUUAUUGGGCGUAAAGCGAGCGCAGGCGGUUUGAUAAGUCUGAAGUUAAAGGCUGUGGCUCAACCAUAGUUCGCUUUGGAAACUGUCAAACUUGAGUGCAGAAGGGGAGAGUGGAAUUCCAUGUGUAGCGGUGAAAUGCGUAGAUAUAUGGAGGAACACCGGUGGCGAAAGCGGCUCUCUGGUCUGUAACUGACGCUGAGGCUCGAAAGCGUGGGGAGCGAACAGGAUUAGAUACCCUGGUAGUCCACGCCGUAAACGAUGAGUGCUAGGUGUUGGAUCCUUUCCGGGAUUCAGUGCCGCAGCUAACGCAUUAAGCACUCCGCCUGGGGAGUACGACCGCAAGGUUGAAACUCAAAGGAAUUGACGGGGGCCCGCACAAGCGGUGGAGCAUGUGGUUUAAUUCGAAGCAACGCGAAGAACCUUACCAGGUCUUGACAUCCCGAUGCUAUUUCUAGAGAUAGAAAGUUACUUCGGUACAUCGGUGACAGGUGGUGCAUGGUUGUCGUCAGCUCGUGUCGUGAGAUGUUGGGUUAAGUCCCGCAACGAGCGCAACCCCUAUUGUUAGUUGCCAUCAUUCAGUUGGGCACUCUAGCGAGACUGCCGGUAAUAAACCGGAGGAAGGUGGGGAUGACGUCAAAUCAUCAUGCCCCUUAUGACCUGGGCUACACACGUGCUACAAUGGUUGGUACAACGAGUUGCGAGUCGGUGACGGCAAGCUAAUCUCUUAAAGCCAAUCUCAGUUCGGAUUGUAGGCUGCAACUCGCCUACAUGAAGUCGGAAUCGCUAGUAGUCGCGGAUCAGCACGCCGCGGUGAAUACGUUCCCGGGCCU
rnacentral:rRNA from 1 species